GACGAACGCUGGCGGCGUGCUUAACACAUGCAAGCCGAACGAAGAGCGAUGGAAGCUUGCUUCUAUCAAUCUUAGUGGCGAACGGGUGAGUAACGCGUAAUCAACCUGCCCUUCAGAGGGGGACAACAGUUGGAAACGACUGCUAAUACCGCAUACGAUCUAAACUCGGCAUCGAGGAUAGAUGAAAGGUGGCCUCUACAUGUAAGCUAUCACUGAAGGAGGGGAUUGCGUCUGAUUAGCUAGUUGGAGGGGUAACGGCCCACCAAGGCGAUGAUCAGUAGCCGGUCUGAGAGGAUGAACGGCCACAUUGGGACUGAGACACGGCCCAGACUCCUACGGGAGGCAGCAGUGGGGAAUCUUCCGCAAUGGACGAAAGUCUGACGGAGCAACGCCGCGUGAGUGAUGACGGCCUUCGGGUUGUAAAGCUCUGUUAAUCGGGACGAAAGGCCUUCUUGCGAAUAGUGAGAAGGAUUGACGGUACCGGAAUAGAAAGCCACGGCUAACUACGUG
rnacentral:rRNA from 1 species